AUGGGAGGAGGAGCAAGCACAAGUAAGAAGAGAAAGGCUUCUUUACAGUCCAACUCCAACCGAGAAGAUUCUCCGCCUCCGAGGGAUGACCUUUCACGCAUAUUACGCAAGAGCCUACUUCCCCGUGGUUAUCCUAUGCCAUCUAAGAUUACUGGGGGCAUGCGCUUGGUGAAUACAUUUGAGCUCUGCUUUGGAAAUUUAGAUGGCUACAGUGAAGAGCACACCAGCAUUAAGUUACUUGCUUUGAGCCUAUGUCAGUCCAUUGUCUCACUUGCUGCUUUUAAGGGUCAAAAUAGACGGUUUACAUGCACAGGCACAAUCAUCCAGCACACAGCAUCCAGCAUGAGCAUUCUAACCUCUGCUAGCUUGAUUAGAUCCUCUGAAGAUGAAAGUAAGAUACUUGAUAAACUGGAGAUUAAGGUGCGCCUGCCCAAUGGCAAGCUCGUUGUAGGAAAACUGUGGAAAUAUGAUUUUUAUUAUAAUAUUGCUGUUGUGAACACCAAGGCUUUUCCGGAAUUUCAUGCAGCAUGCUUUCAUAAUGAAGUGCCAGCUAAUGUCAAAUUCUCCCAAAGUAAACUGGUAGCUAUUGGACGAGUUUUUGAAUCUGGAGAACUAAUGGCUACAGGUGGGACACUGCUGUACAAAACUUGCAAAUUCGAUUGCCAGCAACUCAUGGCAUCUACAUGUAAGACCACAAAGGCUGGAAUUGGGGGCCCCAUUAUUGAUGCUGAUGGAAAAUUCAUAGGCAUGAGCUUUUAUUAUAAGGAUGGAGCUCCUUUCUUACCAAUCACUAUCCUCCAGAAAUGCUUAAAGCACUUCAAUGAAUUUGGGAGAGUUCUGCAGCCAUGGCAUGGUCUGAGGAUUGGAUCACUUCAAGCUGAAAAAUUGCGUGUCCGUGAAGAAGUACAUGACAUCUUACCCCAUGCACAUGGCAUUUACGUACAGAAGGUUGUGAGUGGAUCCCCAUCAGCAGAUUCUGGAAUCAAAGCUGGUGAUGUAAUUACCAAGCUUGAUGACUUUGCGCUAUCCAAUGCACAAGAGGUUCUGUUCUUCUUUCGUGCCAUUCUACUUUUUUUUUUGGUUUCUAAACUGUGCUGUGAAAUCAGACCUCCAUUUAUUUGGUUUGGUUUCCUGCGAAUCUAA
rnacentral:rRNA from 1 species